rnacentral:rRNA from 1 species
GCGUGAGUGAUGAAGGCCUUAGGGUUGUAAAGCUCUUUUACUAGGGAUGAUAAUGACAGUACCUAGAGAAUAAGCUCCGGCUAACUCCGUGCCAGCAGCCGCGGUAAUACGGAGGGAGCUAGCGUUGUUCGGAAUUACUGGGCGUAAAGCGCGCGUAGGCGGCUUUUCAAGUCAGGGGUGAAAUCCCGGAGCUCAACUCCGGAACUGCCCUUGAAACUGGAUGGCUAGAAUACUGGAGAGGUGAGUGGAAUUCCGAGUGUAGAGGUGAAAUUCGU